rnacentral:rRNA from 1 species
CGACCGGCGCACGGGUGAGUAACGCGUAUCCAACCUGCCCACCACUUGGGGAUAACCUUGCGAAAGUAAGACUAAUACCCAAUGAUAUCUCUAGAAGACAUCUGAAAGAGAUUAAAGAUUUAUCGGUGAUGGAUGGGGAUGCGUCUGAUUAGCUUGUCGGCGGGGUAACGGCCCACCAAGGCAACGAUCAGUAGGGGUUCUGAGAGGAAGGUCCCCCACAUUGGAACUGAGACACGGUCCAA